CUGGUCCACGCCUGGUGGUGAAUCUCGCUGGGGCCUCCAAAUGUUGUAACCGAUCAAGUUGUAAGGAAAGCACCACAAUCUGAGAUUGAAUUAGGAGUCCUUUAUUGA
rnacentral:pre_miRNA from 13 species